rnacentral:rRNA from 1 species
GACGAACGCUGGCGGCGUGCUUAACACAUGCAAGUCGAGCGGUAAGGCCCUUCGGGUACGACGAGCGGCGAACGGGUGAGUAACACGUGGGUGACCUGCCUCUAGCUCUGGGAGUAAGCCUGGGAAACGUGGGUCGUAAUACCGGAUAUGACUCCACGGCGCAUGUUGUGGGGUGGAAAGCCUUGUGUGGCUAGAGAUGGG